CGGCUGUGAUCCGCGUUGGUGCUGUCCGGGUCUAGUGGACAGAGAAGACUCUUGGUCAGGCAAAUGGCUUCUCGGUGGCAGAGCAUGGGGACCUCUGUGCGCCGGAGAUCUCUCCGGCACCAGGAGCAGCUGGAGGACAGCAAGGAGCUGCAGCCUGGGGCCAGCCAUCAGGAGACCUCUGCAGGGGCCCUGGGGUCUCUGUGCAGACAGUUCCAAAGGAGGCUGCCCCUGAGAGCCGUCAACCUCAACCUCUGCACAGGCCCCUCCUGGAAGCGCCUGGAAACCGCAGAGCCAGGUCAGCAGGGCCUCCAGGCUGCAGCUCGCUCAGCUAAGAGCGCUUUGGGUGCCAUGUCCCAGAGAAUCCAAGAGUCCUGCCAAAGUGGCACCAAGUGGCUGGUGGAAACGCACGUGAAGGCCAGGAGGCGGAAGAGAGGCGCACAGAAGGGCAGUGGAUCCCCAACUCACAGCCUGAGCCAGAAGAGCACUCGGCUGUCUGGAGCCGCCCCUGCCCACUCUGCCACAGACCCCUGGGAGAAGGAGCAUCACCACCUCUCGGCCCGAAUGGGCUCACGUGCCCACCCAUUACGGCGGUCAAGGCGGGAGGCUGCCUUCCGGAGCCCCUACUCCUCAACAGAGCCCCUCUGCUCUCCCAGCGAGUCUGACAGUGACCCAGAGCCUGUGGGGGCAGGAAUCCAGCAUCUCCAGAAGCUGUCCCAAGAGCUAGAUGAAGCCAUUAUGGCGGAAGAGAGUGGUGACAUCGUCUCUCUCAUUCAUGACUGAGGAAGUGCCUGCAGGAAACAAGCCCUAUCUGACCGCCAAGUCUUCAUACUCAAGGAUGUCUAUGCUUCCCCAUGAGCUUCCCGGAGGAAACCCCCAGGAGUUGUCAGUACCCCCGGGCCACUGCUAACAAGCACCUAACAAGGGGCCCAGAGCCCCCUGCUCCGGCCACAUCUGGACCCAUCAGUGACUGCCUGCCAUAGCCUGAGAGUGUCUUGGGGAGACCUUGCAGAAGGGGAGAAUUGUUCCUUCUGCUUUCCCAGGGGACUCUUGAGCUUAGAAACUCAUCGUACACUUGACCUUGAGCCUUCUAUUUGCCUCAUCUAUAACGUGAAGUGCUAGCCUCAGAUGUUUGAGAGCUCUUAGCUGUGUACCCACGUGCCUGGUUUUUGGGGAGUCAUCCGCAGAGUCACUCACCCACCGUGUUUCUGGUGCCAAGGCUCUUGGGGGCCCCAUUGUCAUCCCCGCUUUCCCUACCAGGGACUCGGAGGAAGGCAUAGGAGAUAUUUCCAGACUUACGACCCUGGGCUCACGGGUACCUAUUUAUAUGCUCAACGCGGAGUACUGUGGGUGUGCCGGGAGGGGGUAGCCCUGUUCAAAAGCAAUUUCUGCCGUGUGUAAAUUAUUUAAGAAACCUGCUUUGUCAUUGUAUAAGAAACCAGCGUGUGACUUUCCUAGAUAACACUGCUUUCUCAUAAUAAAGACUGUUGGCAUUUGAAAAAAAAAAAAAA